AGACUUUUGAAGCCUCUUCUCCUCCGGCCCAACAAGACUGAUUUCAUCUGGUUCCAAACACCUUGCCAGGCAAUGUUCUGGAAGCUUCAGAAACCAACCUGAUCUCCAGGAAAGGGCAGAACCACGCUCCAAACACAAGGCAUGCAAAGAGCAAUCAGCCAAACCAGGCUCUGAUGGAGAACCUGAAUUGCCGUAGCUAUAUAUCAGAGCCUCCUCAUCUAAGCUGAAAGGCUGUCAAGCAAGGAAAAUGUCACGCCACUGUCACACGCCCCAUGGGAGAAGUGGGCUGUGAACUCAGACCAAGGCUGCACUACGUGUUCCUGAAUGUCAUUUCCAACGAGACUGAGCUCGCCCAGCCUUUGCAGACAGGAAAGAAAUUUAAAAUGGGAAACAAGAAUAGACGGUCAUCUAUUGAAUGAAGCUCUGCCUUUUCCAUCGAGCACCCACACCCAUGCAGCAGAGCAAAGAUCCAUCAACCCAGAGCAUCACAGCUUUCUUCGUGGUGUUGUUUUUUCCACUUAAUGUGGUUAGCUAAUUAGAUCUCCUCUGAUCAAUCAUUGAAUUACUGCUUCAAAAAGGCAUUACGAUCCGAUGAGAGUGCCUCACAGCAUUUUAACGCUUUGAUUUUGCUGUCCUAACACAUUUACAGCUAGUGUGAACGAGGCCCUCCCAGCAGGAAUAAAGAAAUACUUCAUUUUUUUCA
rnacentral:lncRNA from 1 species